rnacentral:rRNA from 1 species
AGGGAAUCUUCCGCAAUGGGCGAAAGCCUGACGGAGCGACGCCGCGUGAGCGAGGAAGGCCUUCGGGUCGUAAAGCUCUGUUGUCAGGGAAGAAGGCGCGCUGUUCGAAUAGGGCGGCGCGGUGACGGUACCUGACGAGGAAGCCCCGGCUAACUACGUGCCAGCAGCCGCGGUAAAACGUAGGGGGCGAGCGUUGUCCGGAAUUACUGGGCGUAAAGCGCGCGCAGGCGGUCCUUUAAGUCUGAUGUGAAAUUCCGCGGCUCAACCGCGGGUGUGCAUUGGAAACUGGGGGACUUGAGUGCGGAAGAGGGGAGCGGAAUUCCCGGUGUAGCGGUGAAAUGCGUAGAGAUCGGGAGGAACACCAGUGGCGAAGGCGGCUCUCUGGUCCGCAACUGACGCUGAGGCGCGAAAGCGUGGGGAGCGAAC